AAAAAGAUAUAAUCUACAGGAUCAUGCGUGAAACAAUCAGCAAUGAUUUAGCGAAAAAGUUUAACUGGAUGGGCAGGGGGCAGAAAAGUCCUUUUUCUGUGUUGCACCUGGCAAAAGUCAUCAUAGAUGCUGCCAAAAAACAAGGGGCCACCUUAAUGGAGGCAGAAGAAAAGAUAAAAACAUGGCUGAAAUACAGUGGUGACCGAAAUGGAGGAAGAAAAAGGAGAUCAGAAAAGGGGACAGAUUUCAACAACCAAUCAAAACAUAUUUGUAAUUGCCUAGAGGCAGACACAUUCCCCAUCACAUCCUCCAUCUGACAUCAGCAGUGAAUCCGAGGAAGUGUCUGAAAUAUCUGACAUUGAGCAGAACUGAUUGAUGACCCAUCAACCCUUGAGGAUCUCAUCACAUAAAUGUUUAUUAUUAAAUCAAUAUGUAUUAUUAAAUGUAUUUAUUUUAACCCUUAA